GGGCCCGCACAAGCGGAGGAACAUGUGGUUUAAUUCGAUGAUACGCGAGGAACCUUACCUGGGCUUAAAUGGGGAACGACAGCUGCUGAAAGGUGGCCUUCUUCGGACGUUCUUCAAGGUGCUGCAUGGUUGUCGUCAGCUCGUGCCGUGAGGUGUCGGGUUAAGUCCCAUAACGAGCGCAACCCUUACUGUUAGUUGCCAGCGCGUCAAGGCGGGGACUCUAGCGGGACUGCCACCGUAAGGUGAGAGGAAGGUGGGGAUGACGUCAAAUCAGCACGGCCCUUAUGUCCAGGGCUACACACGUGUUACAAUGGCCGGUACAAAGGGCAGCUACUCCGCGAGGGGAUGCCAAUCUUGAAAGCCGGUCUCAGUUCGGAUCGAAGUCUGCAACCCGACUUCGUGAAGUUGGAUUCGCUAGUAAUCGCGCAUCAGCCAUGGCGCGGUGAAUACGUUCCCGGGCCUU
rnacentral:rRNA from 1 species